rnacentral:rRNA from 1 species
UUGACCUCGGAUCAGGUAGGGAUACCCGCUGAACUUAAGCAUAUCAAUAAGCGGAGGAAAAGAAACCAACAGGGAUUGCCCCAGUAACGGCGAGUGAAGCGGCAAGAGCUCAAAUUUGAAAGCUGGCUCCUUCGGGGUCCGCAUUGUAAUUUGUAGAGGAUGCUUCGGGAGCGGUCCCCAUCUAAGUGCCCUGGAA